GACGAACGCUGGCGGCGUGCCUAAUACAUGCAAGUAGAACGCAGUUGCGAACGGGUAAGUAACGCGUAGGUAACUGCCUCAUAGCGGGGGAUAACUAUUGGAAACGAUAGCUAAUACCGCAUACUGUGAGAUGGACCUGCGUUGUAUUAGCUAGUUGGUUAGGUAAAGGCUCACCAAGGCGACGAUACAUAGCCGGCCUGUGAGGGUUAUCGGCUACACUGGGACUGAGACAACGCCCAGACUCCUACCGGAGGCAGCCGUAGGGAAUCUUCGGACAUGGACCGAAGUCUGACCGCGCACCGCCGCGUGAUUGAAGAAGGUUUUCGGGUCGUAAAGCUCUGUUGUUAUAGAAGCGUUAACUACCCAGAAAGGGACGGCUAACUACGUGCCAGCAGCCGCGGUAAUUC
rnacentral:rRNA from 1 species